CUCCCCUCGUCCCCUCCCACUUGCCCCCGCGCUCCCCUUUAUCCACUCCCCUUCCCCCACACUCUCCCCCCUGCCCCAGAUCCACCCCGGUCGUGCCUCGUCAUCGCCGUGCAUCUCGCUUCGCCGCGGCGACCAGCAUCCCGUCCCUCUCCGACGCGUCCCAGAGCUCCACCACCACCGACUUGGUCGUCCACGCCCACUAGCGGGAGCUGGGACCCCCUCCAUCGUCGAGCCUGCCCUCUUCUUCCACCUCCGGGCACCGAAGGCCGCCGCCGUCGUUCCGCUGCACCGAGCCUCCCCCGAGCCCGCUAGUCUACUCUGCCACCCCGCUACCCCGAGACCGCUACCGAUGCCGCUGUGAUCGACUACGUCGACGACGACCCCUUCUUCCCUUUCAGUGAAGAUGGUGGAUCCCUUGAGCCAGAUGCCAUCGCCGAUGGAUACUACUACAAGGAGGCCGCCGAAGACCAGGAGUAGUUAGGAGGUCCCAGGCAGGAGGCCUUGCCUCUUUGCUCGUGUUGCUUUUGUGCUAGCCUUCUUAAGGCAUCCUUGUCUAACUUAUGUCUGCACUCAAAUAUUGUUGC